rnacentral:lncRNA from 1 species
GUGAGCUACAUCCCUAACCCUUUUUUAAUUUUGAGACAGGGUCUCACUAAAUUGCCCAGGAUAGGUUAGAGGUUUUGAUCUCCUGCCUCAGCCUCCUGAGUGCUGAGAUUACAGGUGUGCAACACCACACCUGGCUUAAUUUUUUUUUGUUUUUUGACACAAAGUCUCCAUAUGUGGACCACACUAGCCAUGAGCUCACAGUGUAGCCCAGGCUGGCCUUGAGCUCAUGAUCUUCCUGUCUCAGGCUCCAGAGAGUACUGGAGUUAUGGUGUGAGUCACCAUAACAGGCUUCAAUUACUACAAUUUUUAUUUACUAGACCACAGCAGAGUUUUGGGGAGAGAGCAAAUUAGCAAAGAGUGAAAACAAAAUGAAAAGAAAAAUAUGCACCUUAAAUCAGGCAUUUGGAAACUUUUUGAUUGUGAUUCAAAAGUAGAUAUAAACAUGUAGGCCUGGCAUGGUGGUACUCAUUUGUAAGCCCAGCACUCUGGUAAGCUGAGGCAGGAGGAUUGCAAGUUUGAACCCAGCCUGAGCUAUUUAGCAAGAUCCUGUCUCAAGAAAGAAAAAAAGAAAAAAGACUGGGGGUGUAGCUUAGUGUGAAGGCCCUGAGUUCAAUCUGCAGUACUAAAAAAAAGAAAAUCUCAUCCAAAAAUACAUACCUGUGACUACGUGCACACAUUUCUAAGACAAAGGUUUCAUGAAGUAUUAUUUUAUGCAAUGAAUGCUAAUAUUUUCAACCUUGUUUUCUCUUUAAUGUGGAUCAGGACUUAUCACAUUGACUCCGUUAUUCACUACAGUACUGGGUCACAACAUGCCUUUAAGAACAUUGAAAAAGAAGUACUAUUCCCCACUGUCUUUGUACCUCUCAUUUUGAAUAGUCCUAGCUGGUCACCUUAAGCUGGCCAUGUUUACAUGUCCCAGAAUGCAACAGGACAGAUGAGCCUCCCAGGGUGCUGUGGGGGAGGUGAGGGAAGGGUUGGCAGAAGCCAGAUUGGGUUCCUGUUCAGUCAGUAAAAUUUCCUAAUAUUAUUAGAGGAUAUAAAUAAUUUCUUCUUUGUUCAGCAUGAGCUACACGUUGAACUUAAACAAGGCAUACUGCCUGCAAACUAACAUUUUUUCAUUUGAAAGAACAAAAUCAUGAACUAAAAUAAAAAGAAAAAUAAUGUAUCUUGAUUGUGACAGUUAUUAAUCAACUUUUUUUUUUAAGAAAGGGUCUCUGGUGGGGUGUUUAGCUCAGCGGUAGAACCACUGAGCUAAAUCCCCGGCCCUCUAAUAGCCUUUUUAAUAUUUUUCCCUGAAUUAAAGUUAUUUCCCCAGAACUCCAGCCUCCUCUUUGCAGAGAUCUAGCAAUUUUAACCACAUCUAAUUUUGAAAGUGAAUUUUCUGGGCCAGGGAUUUAGCUCAGUGGUUUCGCCGCCUGCUGCACAAGCGCAAGGACCCGAAUUCGAUCCUCAGUACAAAAAAAAAGUGGAUUUUUCUCUAAAAGCAGGCAGGGCUAAAUUCAACAGGUUAAGUCACCCCUGGAAGAACCAAGGCAAAUUCUCCCCUACCUGCCCUUCUAGAGAAACAAAAGGAAAUAUGGAUCUGCAUUCUCUACCCCCUGCCCGAGUAAACUGGACUUGGCCCAAUAGUUAAGCAAUUAAUUGGGAAAGUUUAUUUAAGCAGUUAAUUAUUUUUUAAAAUGGUGAAUAGGGCCAGAUGAGGUGGCACAUGCUUGCAAUCCCAGUACUCGGGAGGCUGAGGCAGAAGGAUUGCAUUGAGUUCAAGGCCAGCCUGGACUGCAUAGAGACCCUGUCUCAAAAAAAAAAAAAAAAAAAAACCACUCAAAAAAACAAAUAAAUAAAAGUCAAUAGAUACCCUAAUAAAAGUUGGAAACUAUAAGGAUCGUCCAGUUACCAAUCUUUUUUUGUUUGUUUUGUUUUGAUUUUUGAGACAGG